AACAAAAGAUUAAAAGAUGAUGUGGAUAACCACGGGAAAUCUGCGGCUAAUACAUGUGAGAAGACUUUUAUUUAAUUAAGAGUUGCAUUUAUUAGAACUAUUUAAGAGAGUGAGAAAUUGUGUGUAAAAGCAUAAUUUUACUUGAAUGAUAAUAAAUCAAGGAUAAUUAAUGUAAAAAAUUAAUUAUUUUUCCAAGCAAAUCGAUUGGUUAUAAGACCGACGAUAAUUUGUUCGACAAUCCGCCCUAUCAACUUUGGACUGUAGUGUAGUGGACUACAGUGGUGUUUACGGGUAACGGAGGAUUAGGGUUUGAUUCCGGAGAGGGAGCCUGGGAGAUGGCUACUACUUCUAAGGAAGGCAGCAGGCGCGCAAAUUACUUCAUCCACAAUGUGGGAAGUAGUGAAAAGACAUUGAUUUUUGGAUAAGCUAUUUUUUAAUAGAUUUUAUCCAUUUAUUUUAUGAAUUUAAUGUUAAAAUUUAAGUGAAUACAAUUAGAGGACAAGUCUGGUGCCAGCACCCGCGGUAAUUCCAGCUCUAAGAGCGUAUAUUCAAUUUGCUGCAGUUAAAAAGCUCGUAGUUGCUUGUGUUGGGAUUGGAUUAGAAUUAAUUUUUAUUAAUUUUUUUUUCAAUUUCAUUUUAGAAAAUUGGUCUUUUUGGUUGGUU
rnacentral:rRNA from 1 species